GCCAGGUGGACGCGGCUCGUGCCCUGCGGGCGCUGAGGCGGCUCUGGCGAUGCGGGGUCGUCGUGCUGAUCGGGACGGCUUUCGCUCCUCUGUGCUUGGCGGAGUUUUUCUGCGUUGCCCUCAGAGUCUGGGGACGAGAUCCCUCCUCUUGUGAUCCAUCAGCACCUGAAGUAUUUCUGAAGGGAAACCGGUUGAACGUGUGAGACAACAGCUGCACAAUGAGAACACUGGCAGUGCUGGAGUGCCACUGCCCCAGAGGGCCGACAGGACCGCUGUUGCUGCUGCAAGGAGCUUGGCAUAGAAGAACAUCCCUGGAGCAGGUGGGUGGCCGUCAGCCCUGCAUGGCACCUGGUGCUGUGACCUGCACCACGGCCAUGAGGAUCCCCAAAUGGAACAAAACUUGCUUUCAUGGGGCCACUGCAUCUCCUGGUUAGAAUCAAGGUCAGGCGCAAAUUACAGCUCUGAUUCCCUGGGGAUUCCUGCCUCUGCUGUGUUUUGGCAGCUUAAGGCCUCUUUGAUAUUUGAGCGAGGCCUUUCCCUCAGCACAUCUGAUCCUGAUUACGGUUUAUGGCAAUGGUAAUUCUUUACCUCCCCAAGGCAGCAAUUUUGAGAAGAGAAAGGGAAAACAAGUACAGUGUGAUCGUUUAGGAGAGGGGCACACUGCACAGGAUUUUAACCGUUUCUCUGUUUACAGCCAUGGCUUUUCCACACAGAUGACCACUAUCGGUACCAAGCCCUUCCCAUGGCAGCACCCCAUGUCCAGCAGUGAAAUCUCUGUGUCUGGAGGCAGAAAAAGUCAGGUUGUGUAUUUAUGUAUCCAGGCAUUGAGUUCUGAACAAUAAAGCUGUGGCUUGGGUAGAUUUUUUGUCACUUUCUGUUUCCUGGUGAGCACAGAAUGAACAGGCAUUGGUAAGUGCCAAAGAUUUUCUGACUGCAGUGAAGAACCCAGGUCCCACUGGGUACCACCAUCACCUCUUUCCUGCUUCAGACUUGAAGGGGAGUUCUGCUCUGUGUCUGGCAAGCACCAAGUGCAUCUGAUGGAGGUGGCAGAAAAUAUGGCAGUAUGGAGGUGGCAGAAAAUAGCAGCGCUGAUUUGCUUUUGUGAUACAUCAAGGCAGUGUGUGAUACAGGCACUUUGGCACACAACAGUGGGUUUCUCAUGUCUAUUCAUAACGUGCUUCGUUCCCUUGUUGCUUUGGCUUCUCUGCCUUGGUUAUACCGUGAGCUCCUCAGGUUCACUGAGGCUCUUCAAAGGCCAUGCAGGGGCUUUACAGUGUGGAGGGCUCUUGACUGUGAAUAACCACUCCUGAAACAUGAAUAACCACUCCUGAAGCUGGUACCAUCAGCUUGCCCUCAGACAAGAUAUUACAAUUCACCAAAGCACUAGCAGCACAAAUCACAAAAUGAUUCCAUUACCUGUCAGCACUAUAAAUGCCUCCAGUUAGCAGAGGCCUGUGCUGGGUAUGGUUCUUUGGUGAAGGUGACCAUAAACACCUCUCAGGGAAGCGGGGGAUGUGCACUGUAUUUGC